rnacentral:rRNA from 1 species
UGACGUUAGCGGCGGACGGGUGAGUAACACGUGGGUAACCUACCUAUAAGACUGGAAUAACUCCGGGAAACCGGGGCUAAUGCCGGAUAACAUUUAGAACCGCAUGGUUCUAAAGUGAAAGAUGGUUUUGCUAUCACUUAUAGAUGGACCCGCGCCGUAUUAGCUAGUUGGUAAGGUAACGGCUUACCAAGGCAACGAUACGUAGCCGACCUGAGAGGGUGAUCGGCCACACUGGAACUGAGACACGGUCCAGACUCCUACGGGAGGCAGCAGUAGGGAAUCUUCCGCAAUGGGCGAAAGCCUGACGGAGCAACGCCGCGUGAGUGAUGAAGGUCUUCGGAUCGUAAAACUCUGUUAUUAGGGAAGAACAAAUGUGUAAGUAACUAUGCACGUCUUGACGGUACCUAAUCAGAAAGCCACGGCUAACUACGUGCCAGCAGCCGCGGUAAUACGUAGGUGGCAAGCGUUAUCCGGAAUUAUUGGGCGUAAAGCGCGCGUAGGCGGUUUCUUAAGUCUGAUGUGAAAGCCCACGGCUCAACCGUGGAGGGUCAUUGGAAACUGGGAAACUUGAGUGCAGAAGAGGAAAGUGGAAUUCCAUGUGUAGCGGUGAAAUGCGCAGAGAUAUGGAGGAACACCAGUGGCGAAGGCGACUUUCUGGUCUGUAACUGACGCUGAUGUGCGAAAGCGUGGGGAUCAAACAGGAUUAGAUACCCUGGUAGUCCACGCCGUAAACGAUGAGUGCUAAGUGUUAGGGGGUUUCCGCCCCUUAGUGCUGCAGCUAACGCAUUAAGCACUCCGCCUGGG